rnacentral:rRNA from 1 species
UACGUAGGGUGCAGGCGUUAAUCGGAAUUACUGGGCGUAAAGCGUGCGCAGGCGGCUCCUUAAGUCAGAUGUGAAAGCCCCGGGCUCAACCUGGGAAUGGCGAUGGAUACUGGCUCGCUAGAGUGCGGUAGAGGAGAGUGGAAUUCCCGGUGUAGCAGUGAAAUGCGUAGAGAUCGGGAGGAACAUCAGUUGCGAAGGCGGCUCUCUGGACCAGCACUGACACUGAGGCACGAAAGCGUGGGGAGCAAACAGG